ACGCUCGACACCUACGGGAAGGCAGCAGUGGGGAAUAUUGCACAAUGGGGGAAACCCUGAUGCAGCGACGCCGCGUGAGCGAAGAAGUAUUUCGGUAUGUAAAGCUCUAUCAGCAGGGAAGAAAAUGACGGUACCUGACUAAGAAGCACCGGCUAAAUACGUGCCGGCAGCCGCGGUAAUCUGAGCGGGCGUGGCAAGGC
rnacentral:rRNA from 1 species